rnacentral:tRNA from 1 species
AGUUCCCAGGGAUGGGAAUCGAACCCACAGUGUUCCGCUUACCGGGCAGAUGCCAUGUCCACUAGGCUUUAUUUUUC